rnacentral:rRNA from 1 species
UACAGAGGUCUCAAGCGUUGUCCGGAAUUAUUGGGCGUAAAGAGCUCGUAGGUGGUUUGUUACGUCUGCUGUGAAAACCUAGGGCUUAACCCUGGGCUUGCAGUGGAUACGGGCAGACUAGAGGUAGGUAGGGGAGAAUGGAAUUCCUGGUGUAGCGGUGAAAUGCGCAGAUAUCAGGAGGAACACCGGUGGCGAAGGCGGUUCUCUGGGCCUUACCUGACACUGAGGAGCGAAAGCGUGGGGAGCAAACAGG